rnacentral:lncRNA from 10 species
AAUCCUGGGUCCCCACACCAGCUCUUCUAUUUUUACCACCCACAGAGUUCUCCUUUAUUUGCUUUUUGUACCAUUUGCAGUAUUUAAGGUUGUGCCUAGUGAGAGGGAGCAAGAAGAAGUGGGUCUAUGCCUUCUUAUCUGAGCUACAGCUUACUUAGAUGUUUUUGAUCCUUGUUUCUCUAAUAUUAAUGAUUAAUUUUUAAAACUUUAGCCUAAAUUAAUCUGUAUUACCUUAUUUCCAUAAACUCCAUAAAGACAGAAUGUAGGUUUCAUUUUUAUAUAAUUAAACACCCUGUCUACAAUUUACAAAGAAAUGAUAUGUCAUUUAAGUUUCAUAAAAUGAUUCAUAUAGUACACUUGUGCUGAAGCAUUUUGGUGAACUAAGGUAGCAAUGAAGCUUUUUAUCAUUUGAAGAAGUACAGGUAGCAAACAAGGGAGCAGUAAGUAGCUUCCUA